rnacentral:rRNA from 1 species
CCUGGCUCAGGAUGAACGCUGGCGGCGUGCCUAAUACAUGCAAGUCGAGCGAAUGAUGAGGAGCUUGCUCCUCUGAUUUAGCGGCGGACGGGUGAGUAACACGUGGGUAAUCUGCCUGUAAGACGGGGAUAACUCCGGGAAACCGGGGCUAAUACCGGAUAACAAAAGGAAAUGCAUAUUUCCUUUUUGAAAGUCGGUUUCGGCUGACACUUACAGAUGAGCCCGCGGCGCAUUAGCUAGUUGGUGAGGUAACGGCUCACCAAGGCGACGAUGCGUAGCCGACCUGAGAGGGUGAUCGGCCACACUGGGACUGAGACACGGCCCAGACUCCUACGGGAGGCAGCAGUAGGGAAUCUUCGGCAAUGGGCGAAAGCCUGACCGAGCAACGCCGCGUGAGCGAUGAAGGCCUUCGGGUCGUAAAGCUCUGUUGUUAGAGAAGAACAAGUACGAGAGUAACUGCUCGUACCUUGACGGUACCUAACCAGAAAGCCACGGCUAACUACGUGCCAGCAGCCGCGGUAAUACGUAGGUGGCAAGCGUUAUCCGGAAUUAUUGGGCGUAAAGCGCGCGCAGGCGGUCUCUUAAGUCUGAUGUGAAAGCCCACGGCUCAACCGUGGAGGGUCAUUGGAAACUGGGAGACUUGAGUGCAGGAGAGAAAAGUGGAAUUCCACGUGUAGCGGUGAAAUGCGUAGAGAUGUGGAGGAACACCAGUGGCGAAGGCGGCUUU